rnacentral:rRNA from 1 species
UACGAAGGGGGCUAGCGUUGCUCGGAAUCACUGGGCGUAAAGCGCACGUAGGCGGAUCUUUAAGUCAGGGGUGAAAUCCUGGAGCUCAACUCCAGAACUGCCUUUGAUACUGGGGAUCUCGAGUCCGGUAGGGGAGUGUGGAAUUCCCGGUGUAGCGGUGAAAUGCGCAGAUAUCGGGAGGAACACCAGUGGCGAAGGCGGCACUCUGGGCCGGUACUGACGCUGAGGAGCGAAAGCGUGGGGAGCGAACAGG